ensembl:snRNA U6 U6 spliceosomal RNA
AAAAAUUAAAAUUGGAAUGAUACAGAGAAGAUUAAUUAGCACGGCCCCUGCAAGGAUGACAUGCAAAUUUAUGAUUUAAUUUUACAUAUUU